rnacentral:lncRNA from 1 species
UUUUUUUAACACACAACUAAUUUGAUUGGCCUUUGGUUAAAUUAAAUUUCAGGAUUUUCCCAUAUCUGGUUGUGUAACAAUGUGAUUCUUUGAAAUAUAGAUCUAAUGAAUGAGUUUUGUUUGUAUUUGUUACUUUUGAUAUGAUGUCAAAUGCAAUAAUAAAUCAAAUUUGUAGUGAUGAAAAUGAUACCAUGUUGAGUGCGAAAAUCUAUUGCAAACAUGAAACUUACUUUUAAUGCAAACUUCAUGGUCGAAGGACAAUAUAGGUCGAAGAUUUUGGUCUUGUCCACGCUAUCGUAUAUGUUCAUUUUUACAUAUUAUUCUUUUGGAUACUUCAGAUCUCUUUAUUUUAUUUUUUUUAUAAUUUAAAUUUCUUUCUUUGUGGUGUGUAUUUUAGGAGAAUACAUGCAACUUCUUUAGAUGGAGGGUUCAUGAAGAUGUUGAUAUACGAUCCAAGUUCGUUAUUCUCAGAUUGGCGAACAAAAUUAGGGGGUUGAAAACUGAUGAUGAAAGUCAUAUUAAAAGAAGUAUCGAAUGGGGGAUGAAGGAGAAGAAGAAGACCAAAUGUUGUAGCAUGUGAAAACUAAUCUUUGUGUUAUUUCUCUUGUAUUAUUAAGCAUUACCAAGAAGAAUACUAUAGAGGAUAGACAAUUCUUAUAUAGUUGUGUACAACCAUUAAAAUCAUCUAAAAAUAAUUCAUUAUUCCACUCUACAUCAAAAAUUUAGGUAGCAACUUGAAGACCGAUUGUAUGUAUGUCAAAAAUUUGGUAUGUUCCAUACCCUUCAGCAGACAUUUAUAAGCAUUCAUGUGACCAUCGUGCAAAAUUAUCUCGAGAGUCACAAAAUGGAUAUUGUUCAUGUUCAUGACUGUCAAAAUUCUUUUUGCACCAAUCCAAUUCAUGCCUCCAGGAUAUGGCCUAGUGCCCC